CUAAUUGUUUGGCCCUGAACAAUAUAAGUUGAUCCUAUGUGACUUAUGGAAGUAGCAUUUUCUGUAGAUAGUUGAAUUGUACCAUUCUUACCAUUAUUCAACCUCUUAGGAUUGACUAAUAAGCUAAGACUAUGCACCAUAUGACUCGAGGCACUUGAAUCCACUAUCCACUUAGCCAACAUUUCUGGAGUCACGACAUAAGAUGUUAUACCUGCUGGCAAAGGUGUAGUUAUAGUUGAGUUGUUCCCUCACUUACUUUUCCUAGUAGCUGAUUUAUCUGUUGGUACUGUUCUUGAGUGCACUGUGGAAUAUUGAGCAUCACAUUCGGUGUCCCCUGUCCAGACAUUGCAUCUUGUUGAACUUGUGAGGUACCUGCAAAAUUAGCUAUGAAACUUUGAUUGUUCCCUAUAACACUUGUUACCUUAUUAGUAAAAUCAGUUGUAUAUCCUGAUCCAACUUUCUUCUUAGUCUUAAAGUAUGGAGGAUAUCCAUUAAUUUAUAACAUGUCUCCCUAGUGUUCCCUAUAAAGUUGCAAUAAUCACAGCACAUAGUUUUCUUCUUUGACUUGUAGUUGCUUCCUAUAGUAUAAUUAUGCCCACUAGGAUAAUUGUUGUUGAGUCCUCUGGUAUGAGUAUGAUUUCCUUUGGCAUUAUUGUACCCUUUAUCACUAAACAUACCAGUAUUGUUUUUUGAUAGGAAUUUGCUACUAAACAAGGCAGUGCCUUCAGCAACUUUAGAAACAUUUGAUGAAUGGCACAUAGAUCUUCUGCUUCCUAGGUGAUACGAUCAUAGCAUAGGCUUUGUUGACAGAAGGAACAUGCAACAUGUUCAAACUUUGAUUGCUUGAUUGAGAAUAGGACUCAUUUAUCCCCACAAGAAACUGUAGUAACAUUUGAUACUGGAAAUGUUCAACAUUUGUUUUUUGAUUCAUCACAUCCUCACCCAAGCCAAGUCAUAAGAGCAUCAAACUCUGCCUAGAAUUCCUUCAAUUUAGAGAGGUAAGUAGACAUGGAUUAUAUCCCCCUGGGUUAAUGUAGGAAUCUUCUUAUGAAGGUAUAACACACGAGAGCCAGUGACUUUAUCAAAUAUCUCCUUGAGAUCCAUCUAAAGCUUGUGAGCACUCGAGGCAUACACCAUACCACUCAAUAAUUCAGCACUUAUUGAGUUCAUAAUCUAAGAGAGUACUAUUGUAUUGCAUUUUCCCACAAUUCAUGAAGAGACACAUCAAAUAUUUCCUUAGGAUAUCUACCAUGCACAAACCCCAGCUUACUUUUUCCCUAGUAAACUAACACGCGUUGCAUUACUCCAUAUUGUAUAGUUUUCAGGUCCAACUAAUUUGACUUAAAUCAAAGGACUACCUGGAGUAUCACAUGGCUGAAGAAAGAGAGGAUGAUAUUUAUCAAUUGAAGUGGGCUACCGCCAGCAACUGCUAUGCUUAUGUAAAUUUCUUCAUUCUCGACCACCAUUGUUAAUGAGGCACUCGAGCUUAGAUGAAGAAGCAUAAAAUGAAUAGGAAACUAUUAAUUGCUCGAAUCAUCCCUAACUUUGAAGAUACCAAAGAAUUUAUCAGAACAAAAACACUAAGGCAACUUAGAUUUAGGUAACUAAUAACAAAGCGUGAAUCAUAAACAUGAGCUAUGAUACCAUGAUGAAAGCCUAGAUCUAAUCUGAGCUGCUAAACUGAGAACGAAGCAGAGGCGGUUACACGCUAAUGGAGAAGAAAGAGUUCCUUCAUUUUCUGUUAUUUUCUGUUAGAAACAUUGUACACUAACCAUGUAUAUACAAAAAAUAGCUACUAACACCUAUUUAACAAACUAAACCUUCCACUAACUUAGCUUAGCUGACAUCCAACUGUACAUUCCAC
rnacentral:lncRNA from 1 species